UUAGCUAUUUUAGAUAGGUUUGUAUUCAUGAAAUCAUGGAUGCAAACAGACAACGUGUUUGUAUCUAUGAUGGCUAGAGAAGUUUGAGAUGACUUUCGCCACGUAGAUGAAAAUAUCUAUAGUGGCUUUUUCUAUACCUUUUAUUUUUCGGGCAGAAGACUCAUUGUAGAUUUUUCAUCUACAA
rnacentral:ncRNA from 1 species